GGAGGACACUGUACAGCUCCCAUGAAAAGGGAAAACAGGCAUUAAACUACCAUCUUGAUUAUGUAGAAGCCUGAAUUUGAUGAGGAUUUCCUUUGGUUGUUGGACAGCUGAUUUUCGGCACCGGUAAGUAAAAAAGUAAUGAAUAUCUUGCUACUUGCUUUCCACUGUAAACUCAUUGUAUUUAGAAAGAAAAAGAGGUAAAUCUUUUCCUUCUUUUUACAGGAAAGGGAACAUCAAAUGUACGUUGUACCAGAGCCCAACUGUGUUGAACAACUGCAUGUACAAUGUUUUAUGAUUUCAUUUUUCUCUUGGCCUUUUUUAUGAUUCUAUUGUUUCCAGAAGUGUCCAUUCCAAAUAAAUACCUACCAACUUUCCUUGGAGCAUUCAGAAAGCACUAAUUAGCUGUUAAACAGCAGCCGUGUCAGACUACUACCUGUUUUCAACCAAAUUCUCAGUUCUUCUUGUUGCACUUCUUAAGAGCAUCUGAUCCAAAGCAGCACUGGAUUUUUUUGAGUUCUGGUGAAGUAAAUAGUGUCUAAAGCACUCAACAUCAUGCAGGAUCAGCUCUCUGAAUAUAUCCAAGAUGGACCUUUGUUGACGUGCAUUCAAAAUGUCAGUUGUGGACACAUUUGCUGCGCAGACCAGCCAAAGGCUUAUGUUUUGUGUCAUUUCAUGCUAUAGAACAAUAGGCAAAAUCAGAAAGAUAACAUCCUAGGGCAACUGCACUGGUUUAGGAUGUGUUUUGCAUUUCCACUUAUUUCUGUUGCUUUGUCAUAGUUGGUCUCCUCAUCGGACUGACUUGGACUAACUGCUGUCAUGCAUAUGCUCUUCUUGCUCCCACUUCCUUCUUCUCGUUCCACAGACGGCUGAAUGAACAGCAUGCCAGAAGCUUGUUGGGAGCUGGAAAGAGCAUGAAAGUGUCCUUUCUGGCUUUACUUCAAUAUCUUUGCCAGAUCCUGAUGUUGGGUGGAACCCGGAAAGUAUUCACAUAGAAAAACAAUUAAGAAAAUGCCAUGAACAGUAUUAAUUUGGGUUUUAAUGUGAAUUUAUCUGACUCAUUUGAACAACAUUUAUUUCAAAGUCUCAGAAACACUUUUAAAAAAAGUUAGCAAUGAAAAUGUAUUACUUGCUCUUUUUUUGUAGGUACGAAGCAGACUUGAUUCAGAAUAAGAUCUGUAAUGUGUUAAAUUUAGAAGGACAAAAUUGGCUUCAGAAUAAUGAAAUUGAUCUUGCUCUGCAAAUAUCGUCUAUUCUUGUUGUUUAUAAUAAGGAUUAUAUAGUGUAAUAGACUAUAUAGCAAUAAUUAUUCUUUAACAGUCUAUGUUUAAAGAAAUGCCUCAUAUGCAUACUGAAUUGGUAACUUCCAAAGGAAAUUAAGCAACUUUGACAGACUGAUCAACAAUGGAUGGCUAUUUGUCCUGAUUUUGGUGGGAAUAGACUUAGUUUUCACAAGAAACUGUGAGGAGACACAGCCAGGGUAGCUGACCCAAGCUGGCCAAAGGGAUUUUUGAUAUCAUCCUGACUAAAACUCAGUAUAUAAAGGGGGAGGCAUUGUGGCUCAGGAGUACGAGGAUGUCUUUUUCUGGGUGGUAAGUGUUCUGUGCUGUGUACCGUUCGUUUUGUGUAUGUUCUUAUUGUUGUUAUUGUUAUUUUUUUCCUCCUCUUUGCUGCCCUGUCAGAUUGUUUUUAUCCUAACCCACAAGUUUUACCAUCUUUGUUUUCACUUCUCCUCCCCAUCCCACCAAGGCUGCAAGAGGAACGAGUGAACAGCCAUGCGUUUCUUUGUUGCUGGUUGGGGCUACACCAUGACAACAGUACAUCUGGAGUCAUUGGAGACAGUAGAAACGGAGCCUCUAUACCUUAAAAUGGUGACCCUCAGGAAGACAGAGAUCAAACCAUUUGCUUUUGCAUUUUACUGGGAAACUUAUUCAUCCUGAACCACUUCAAGUCAAUGGAAAGAUCAUUUUAAUACUACCAGCAAGACACUGUUGCACUGAGUACCCUGUUACUCUGCUCAUGUCUGCUUCCUUGAAAACUUCUGAUUACAGUGAUGGAGAUGCUUGCUUACGUUGCUUAGGAUGCCAUUUAAGUUGGUGGCCAUGUGCCUGAGAGCAACCUUAAUCUCUUAACAUGGAAGAAGUUACAUCAACUACACGCCUGUGAAGACUGUACCGUGCAAAUUGUAUGGGACAAAAUUGGUGUCGUCGCAGGUCAGAUUGCUUAAAUUGAUGAACAGGGUUAGUCAGUCCUCAUCACGUAACAUACUACGAAGGUACUGCCUCUGAAGUCCAUGAAGCUGAGAAAUGUUAGCAGCUGAAAGCAUUCUCUGAGACAGUGGCUCCAGCUGCUUGCUGCUUUCUUGUACUGUUCCCUCGUCAUGUAUCUGACUGCUUUUGGAGAACAGGUACGGGGCUUAACGGACUGUUGAUGUGACCCCAUCACAUGUGGCUGCUCCUGCAUUUUACCAGGGUCCUGUAUUUCCCACAUCCAGUUAUCUGUGCAAAGGAGGAGGAGGAGUUCUUUAAGAAACAGUAUAGGUAAAUUUUCCAAGAGUACACUUUUCUUAGCUUACAUGAAAAUCCAUGUGAAAAAAAUGGAUAAAAGCAAGAUAGGGUAUAGAAAUGAGGAUAUAGAGCUUCCGUAGUGAAAGAAAAGCGAAACUUGGAUCUUAAUGAAGUAAGAGAAGCAGAAUUAGAUUGAAUCUUCCCCAGAGUCCUAAAAAAGCUUCUAUUAAAACUUUAGAUAUAAUAGCAAGUAUUUUUAUUAUGUCUAUCUAGUUGUGUUGUCUGUCAAGAACAUCUCAGAUGAUAGUAUACAUAUUUAAGGCAAGGCAUGAAGCGAAUUUAGGAUGAUUAUGAACUUCAUUAUGAUAUCAUUCAGGACUUCAGAACAAACUUCAAAGGAAAGGAUAAUUCAAAGAUAAGUGAGUAUGGAAUUAAUUACAAAAUGAAUUUAAUAAGUGUAGGUCACAACCAACUAACCUGAUAGUACUUUUUUGAAUUUAUAAGAAUUGUCAAUGCUACACACUAGGAUACCAAUAAUGAUCUUUCUGAAGUCCAAAACCGAAAUUCAGUACACAUCAGACAGAGUUGCAUGGCCCCAGAGCUUGUUUGACAAUAAUCAUGCAGUUCCUUCUGUUUGUCAUUAACAAAAAUAAAAUUGUCAAGACAGUUUGGUCUUUUGCAGUUGUUGGUUUCAUUGGCUUUCCAGUGUUGUAUAAUAAAACCUCUUGUCAGCAGAUGCAAAUGAGACCUCGUUUACGAAUAGCAGAAUUUUUAACAAAACUUUUUUUUCCAUGCAAAUUACAUUUUAACUGCUGAAUGGAAACCACAUGAAGAAGGCAGAUAUAAAUGUUCUUAAUGGAA